rnacentral:rRNA from 1 species
CCUACGGGAGGCAGCAGUAGGGAAUAUUGCUCAAUGGGGGAAACCCUGAAGCAGCAACGCCGCGUGGAGGAUGAAGGUUUUCGGAUUGUAAACUCCUUUUGUUAGAGAAGAUAAUGACGGUAUCUAACGAAUAAGCACUGGCUAAAUCCGUGCCAGCCGCCGCGGUCAUACGGAGGGUGCAAGCGUUACUCGGAAUCACUGGGCGUAAAGAGCGCGUAGGCGGGUUAGCAAGGCAGAUGUGAAAUCCUAUGGCUUAACCAUAGAACUGCAUUUGAAACUGUUAUUCUAGAGUAUGGGAGAGGUAGGUGGAAUUCGUGGGGUAGGGGUAAAAUCCGUAGAGAACAAGAGGAAUACUCAUUUCGAAGGCGACCUGCUAGAACAUAACUGACGCUGAUGCGCGAAAGCGUGGGGAGCAAACAGGAUUAGAUACCCCUGGUAGUC